CGGGUAUAAAAAUCACAAUUAUAAAGGGAGUCAGGGCGAGGCAUACACUGUCAAAAAACAAUAUACGAGAAUAAAUAAUUAAACCCAUUUUUAUAAACGUUUCUCCCGAUAUUAUUCUCUAAAUUGAAAGAAAACAACAGGCAUAUAUUUUCAUUAGCUUUGAACUGAAAACCUUUUAAGAUAAGCCGAAGUUGACUUUUUCGUAUUUUGUUUUAUAUCUUUUUAGUUCAUCGCCUAUAAUCGUUCAGCAAAGAAAAACAAACAUUUUCGGUUCUUUUUGUGCGCGAAUAAUCCACUAAUUUUUCCCGCAAGACGCACUUAGCACCAAAGACGCUCAGCUACAGCGGUACAACAAAUGAAACGAGAAGGCAGCAAUUUUUGGUCGAAUAACAACAGAUCACCAAAAAAAAACGGGACACGUUGACAUAUUAAUUGGUUUAAGUUAGUGGAAGGCGCGGCUAAGAGGCAACGGUACAGCAACUGGAAUUUCCAAGCAACUCCACUCAACGAAAAGAAAGCGAGCGAAAGAGAAUUAGAAGAUCACGCGAUGCGUCGCUCCCAAUGCGAAAACCGAACGCAUCGCUGUAUGCGUGCGCAUGUGUGUGCAGUUGCGGUUUUUGGCUGUGCAUGGGAGAGCUCUAUGUAAAGCCUCUGUAAGCAAUAGCAACGCAAUAAUGAGCAUAAUUAUAGAUGCUUGAGCGUUGAAGUGAAAUGAUGAACAGAAGAGAGGAAAAGUAAAAUAAGCGGGAAAUUUCUCCACCAUUUGUAUUGCAAAAAUGUUUUUCGAGGUUUUUAACGAGCCCGAUUUGUAAAGACCUCACCUAGGCCAGAUUUGCCCUAUAUGUCAUGUAUAUUCUCGAUUUAUAAUGAAUCUCAACAAUAAAAUGGCGACCUUUUUGCAUA